AUUGAACGCUGGCGGCAGGCCUAACACAUGCAAGUCGAACGAGUGGCGGACGGGUGAGUAAUGUCUGGGAAACUGCCUGAUGGAGGGGGAUAACUACUAGAAACGGUAGCUAAUAACGCAUACCAUCAGAUGUGCCCAGAUUGGAUUAGCUUGUUGGUGGGGUAACGGGUGACCAAGGCGACGAUCCCUAGCUGGGCUUAGAGUAUGAACAGCAACACUGGAAUGGGGACACGGUCCAGACGCCUACGGGAGUCAGAAGGGGGGAAGAGUGCACAAUGGGCGCAAGCCUGAUGCAGCCAUGCCGAGUGUAUGAAGAAGGCCUUCGGGUUGUAAAGUACUUGCAGCGGGGAGGCGUUACCCGCAGAAGAAGCACCGGCUAACUCCGUGCCAGCAGCCGCGGUAAUAC
rnacentral:rRNA from 1 species